UACGGGGGGGGCAAGCGUUGUUCGGAAUUACUGGGCGUAAAGGGCUCGUAGGCGGUUCGUCACGUCGGGAGUGAAAAGCUGGGGCUUAACCCCAGUCCUGCUUCCGAUACGGGUGGACUAGAGGUAGGUAGGGGAGAUCGGAAUUCCUGGUGUAGCGGUGAAAUGCGCAGAUAUCAGGAGGAACACCGGUGGCGAAGGCGGAUCUCUGGGCCUUACCUGACGCUGAGGAGCGAAAGCAUGGGGAGCAAACAGG
rnacentral:rRNA from 1 species